AGUAGUUUAGUGUAAUGUUAGUGCACUUGACUGAAAAUCAAAGGAUGUGAGUUCGAUUCUCAUGGCUGGUU
rnacentral:tRNA from 1 species